AACGCGAAGAACCUUACUUUAAAUCCCAGGAAUUUCUAAAGAAGGAGGAUUGGUGCCUUCGGGACCGUGAGACAGGUGCUGCAUGGCUGUCUUCAGCUCGUGUCGUGAGAUGUUGGGUUAAGUCCCGCAACGAGCGCAACCCUUGUCCUUAGUUGCCAGCACGUUAUGGUGGGAACUCUAAGGAGACCGCCGGCGACAAACCGGAGGAAGGGGGGGAUGACGUCAAGUCAUCAUGGCCCUUACGGCGGGGGCUACACACGUGCUACAAUGGUGGGGACAGAGGGCCGCAAUCCCGCGAGGGCGAGCCAAUCCCACAAACCCCCUCUCAGUCCGGAUUGGAGUCUGCAACUCGACUCCAUGAAGUCGGAAUCGCUAGUAAUCGCAAAUCAACUUUGCUGCGGAAAAUACUUUCCCGGGUCUUGUACACACCG
rnacentral:rRNA from 1 species